CUCCUGCCUCAGCCUCCCUGGUGUUGGGAUUACGGGUGUGCACCAUCAUGCCCAGCUUGUAACCAUUGUAGGAUUUUUUAUUUUUUAUAUUUUAUUUUUUUGGUACUAGGGGUCGAACUCGGGACCUUUCGGUUGUGAGGCAGGCGCCGGAACCACUGAGCUAAAUCCCCAGCCCAGGAUUUUGGAUUUGAAGAGAAUCUAUUGAAGAUGAACCUACACCUACCAGUUUGGAUGCCUCAUAAUCCUCCUGUGGGAACCAUGAGCCCCAAGAUAAGAAUUUCUUCUGUAAAGAGAAAAAAGAAAAAUACCUGAUACUUUCUAUGGAUUGAGAAAUUGAAGAUCUAAAAGCUCACUAGACGGUUGCCACCCAUCAAGGAAGCUAAGCCUCAGUUACAGAAGCUCUUCCGGGACUUCUGGCUAUACUCUGUACUGAUGGGAUUUGCUGUGGAGGUCUCAGGUA
rnacentral:lncRNA from 1 species